rnacentral:tRNA from 1 species
GCCAGUGUGGUAUAGUAGUUUGAAUGUUGGACUAUGACUCUGGAGACCUAGGUUCAAUUCCCAGGUUGGCC